rnacentral:rRNA from 1 species
GACGAACGCUGGCGGCGUGCUUAACACAUGCAAGUCGAACGGUAAGGCCCUUUCGGGGGUACACGAGUGGCGAACGGGUGAGUAACACGUGGGUGAUCUGCCCUGCACUUUGGGAUAAGCCUGGGAAACUGGGUCUAAUACCGGAUAGGACUACGCGAUGCAUGUCGUGUGGUGGAAAGCUUUUGCGGUGUGGGAUGGGCCCGCGGCCUAUCAGCUUGUUGGUGGGGUGAUGGCCUACCAAGGCGACGACGGGUAGCCGGCCUGAGAGGGUGUCCGGCCACACUGGGACUGAGAUACGGCCCAGACUCCUACGGGAGGCAGCAGUGGGGAAUAUUGCACAAUGGGCGCAAGCCUGAUGCAGCGACGCCGCGUGAGGGAUGACGGCCUUCGGGUUGUAAACCUCUUUCAAUAGGGACGAAGCGCAAGUGACGGUACCUAUAGAAGAAGCACCGGCCAACUACGUGCCAGCCGCCGCAGUAA